UCUCAGGGAGGGGGUCCUUACUGUUCACCCAGACCCCCUCCCUCAUAUCUGAUGACUGAGUUCCUCUUCCACAUCCUUCUUGCCUCUGCCCCCGCUCACUGCCUACUGUGGAGGUGGUCUAUGGGUAGCCAUGGGCCAGGACAGCAGAAAAGACACAAGUGUCCUCAGGAGGAAAAAAAGAGCAGCAGGAGCAGUCAUUUCAACAUGGGGACCCAGUCACCCCCUCAAGCAAUGAUGACCUUCCCGGGGCUUCACAGAAGCAGCCCUGAGAUAACGACCCACCAGACCAGAACCUGACCAAGAUGUCUUACUCUACCAGCUCUACACAUCCCCCAGCCGUACAAAUCUCCAACCCUCGCUUGUGUUCCCCUUUUCUAUGAAACCUCAAAGUUUCUGUCCAUUCCUUGAAGACAUAUCUUUGGUCGCUGUAUCCCUGCAUCUGUUCUUCCGGUGGUCAUGCUGAUUAAAGGUCUUUUCCUUCUGU